GACGAACGCUGGCGGCGUGCUUAACACAUGCAAGUCGAACGGAAAGGCCCUGCUUUUGUGGGUUUCUCGUUUGCCGAACGGGUGAGUAACACGUGAGUAACCUGCCCUUGACUUUGUGAUAACUUCAGGAAACUGGGGCUAAUACCGCAUAGGAUCUCCUGCUGCAUGUUGUGGGUUGGAAAGUUUCGGCGGUUGGGGAUGGACUCGCGGCUUAUCCGCUUGUUGGUGGGGUAGUGGCUUUCCAAGGCUUUGACGGGUAGCCGGCCUGAGAGGGUGACCGGCCACAUUGGGACUGAGAUACGGACCAGAAUCCUACGGGAGGCAGCAGUGGGGAAUAUUGCACAAUGGGCGGAAGCCUGAUGCAGCAACGCCGCGUGCGGGAUGACGGCCUUCGGGUUGUAAACCGCUUUCGCCUGUGACGAAGCGUGAGUGACGGUAAUGGGUAAAGAAGCACCGGCUAACUACGUG
rnacentral:rRNA from 1 species